CGCGGUGAAUCUCGUGGCGCGCUUGUUUAUGACGACAUACAGCAUAUAAAUACCGUUCAUUCACGUGAUAGCGUUCUCUUGGAGUCAGUCCCAUCUUUUUGAGACACUCCUCCCAAACAUGAGAGCGAAGUGGAGGAAGAAGCGCAUGCGUAGGCUGAAGCGCAAAAGGAGAAAGAUGAGGCAGAGGUCCAAGUAAACUGCUUCCCUUCUGCUGCAGCUGGAACUGCUCCUCCUAGACCUUCCCACCGACCCCUCGCCUUCUCCAGAAACCCAAGCUGAGGCCUUUUGAAGGACUCCUACAUUCCUCAGAAGGAUGCGGGCACCCUUGUUGGAUCUCCUGGCUCUUCUAUUUGUGAUGUGCUGACCUGUGAAAGCUUCUCUUGGACAUUCUGGACUUCCGCCAGCUCAGCAAAGUUUUUGUUUAUAUUUCCUUGAAUAAAGAAAUUUGAUUUGGAAAA